rnacentral:lncRNA from 1 species
GGCAGUCCUAGCCCCAAAGGCGGGAGUAGCUAGGUAACGGUGGGCAGUCCUGACUUAAAGGGAAAGGCGCGUCUAACAGAAACUUAACUCAGACAACAGAAACUUAAUGCUUAAGACGGCUACUAAUAUACAAUGGAGAUCAUUGUGCAUUGACAAACAGAAACGCCAAGACGUCACCCCGGAUUUAGAAGAUUUAUUAAUGUCAACAGACCUUACUGGGAAUCUUUCCCAAACUGUCAGGCCCCAAUACCUGAACAAGUCACACCUGGCCUCAAUAUUUGUUGACGCAAUGAUGACUUCACUAGAAAGCAUGAGCGAUGAGUCACUGCAUGGACUAUGUAAUUAAUAAUUAUGUAAUGAAUUAAUUGUGGCAAAG